CCUACGGGAGGCAGCAGUAGGGAAUCUUCCACCAUGGGCGAAAGCCUGAUGGAGCAACGCCGCGUGGGUGAAGAAGGUCUUCGGAUCGUAAAACCCUGUUGUUAGAGAAGAAAGUUCGUGAGAGUAACUGUUCACGUUUCGACGGUAUCUAACCAGAAAGCCACGGCUAACUACGUGCCAGCAGCCGCGGUAAUACGUAGGUGGCAAGCGUUAUCCGGAUUUAUUGGGCGUAAAGGGAACGCAGGCGGUCUUUUAAGUCUGAUGUGAAAGCCGUCGGCUUAACCGGAGUAGUGCAUUGGAAACUGGGAGACUGGAGGGCAGAAGAGGAGAGUGGAACUCCAGGUGUAGCGGUGAAAUGCGUAGAUAUAUGGAAGAACACCAGUGGCGAAAGCGGCUCUCUGGUCUGUAACUGACGCUGAGGUUCGAAAGCGUGGGUAGCAAACAGGAUUAGAUACCCCUGUAGUC
rnacentral:rRNA from 1 species